rnacentral:rRNA from 1 species
UACGAAGGGGGCUAGCGUUGUUCGGAAUUACUGGGCGUAAAGCGCACGUAGGCGGGUCGUUAAGUCGGGGGUGAAAUCCUGGAGCUCAACUCCAGAACUGCCUUCGAUACUGGCGAUCUUGAGUCCGGAAGAGGUGAGUGGAACUCCUAGUGUAGAGGUGGAAUUCGUAGAUAUUAGGAAGAACACCAGUGGCGAAGGCGGCUCACUGGUCCGGUACUGACGCUGAGGUGCGAAAGCGUGGGGAGCAAACAGG